rnacentral:rRNA from 1 species
UACGUAGGGGGCGAGCGUUAAUCGGAAUUACUGGGCGUAAAGCGUGCGUAGGCGGUUCGUUAAGUUCGUUGUGAAAGCCCCGGGCUCAACCUGGGAAUGGCAAUGGAAACUGGCGGGCUGGAGUAUGGCAGAGGGGGGUGGAAUUCCGCGUGUAGCAGUGAAAUUCGUAGAUAUUGGGAAGAACACCGGUGGCGAAGGCGGCUCUCUGGACCGAUACUGACGCUGAGGCGCGACAGCGUGGGGAGCAAACAGG